rnacentral:rRNA from 1 species
UUGCCAGACUCCUACGGGAGGCAGCAGUGAGGAAUAUUGGUCAAUGGCCGAGAGGCUGAACCAGCCAAGUCGCGUGAGGGAUGACGGCCCUACGGGUUGUAAACCUCUUUUGCCGGGGAGCAAAGAGCGGGACGCGUCCCGCCUCGAGAGUACCCGGAGAAAAAGUAUCGGCUAACUCCGUGCCAGCAGCCGCGGUAAUACGGAGGAUGCGAGCGUUAUCCGGAUUUAUUGGGUUUAAAGGGUGCGCAGGCGGAAGCGCAAGUCAGCGGUCAAAUUGCGGGGCUCAACCCCGUACUGCCGUUGAAACUGCAUCCCUUGAGUGCGCGAGAAGUAUGCGGAAUGCGUGGUGUAGCGGUGAAAUGCAUAGAUAUCACGAAGAACCCCGAUUGCGAAGGCAGCUUACUAAACUGUGACUGACAUUGAUGCUCGAAAGUGUGGGUAUCAAACAGGAUUAGAUACCCCCGUA